CUUGAAGGGGGAGAGAAAAACAACUUAAAACCCCAAUUCGCCACCAUGGCCUCCGCCUCUGCUUCUCUCUCCUCUCUCGCUUCCUCCGCCGCCGCCGCCGCCGCGAUCUCCUCCGGCCCCGGCUGCCCUCCUUCCAAGCCCCUUCGCGAUCUAAAGCCUCUUCAUCUUUCCGUCAGACUGUUCUCCCGUCUCGGCAAACCUCAAUCGCUCUCCUGCUCCGGGCCGCUCGCCCCUCGCGCCGCCACUGGCGACGGAUCGGGUGCCGGGAACCGCGGGGACGACUCAGGAGGAAACGGCGGAAAAGGUGGAGGCGGCAACGAUGGCGACGAGGACUACGAGGAGGCCGAGUUCGGGCCGCUGCUCGGCUUCAGCGAGGUGGUGCGCCUCGCGGCCGCCCGUGGCGUCACACUCCCGGCCGACAUGAUUGAAGCCGCCAAGGACGCCGGCAUCCGGGAAGUGAUUUUGCUCCGAUACUUCGAUUUGCAGGCCGCACCGUGGCCACUCGCCGCGAUGGUCCGGGCCUUCUCAGUGCUCCGGAACAGAAUGCUCGCCGAUCCGUCAUUUCUCUUCAAAGUUGGCAUCGAGGUUGUGAUCGACUCCUGCUGUGCGACGCUUGCGGAGGUGCAGAAGAGGGGGGAGGAUUUCUGGGCAGAGUUUGAAUUGUAUGCUGCUGACAUUUUGAUCGGGAUUGUUGUUGAUAUCGCCCUCGUUGGGAUGUUGGCUCCAUAUGUGAGAUUGGGAAAGGCGUCUGCUUCGACGGGGCUGUUAGGGAGGUUCAACCGGAUGACUGGAGCUUUGCCAAGCAGUGUUUUUGAAGCUGAAAGGCCAGGCUGCAGAUUUACAGUCCAACAAAGAAUUGGGACUUACUUUUAUAAGGGCGUUUUGUAUGGCUCAGUUGGAUUUUUCUGUGGUAUUAUCGGCCAGGGAAUUUGCAAUAUGAUAAUGAAUGCCAAGAGGAGUGUCAAAAAAACAGAUGAAGAUAUUCCUGUUCCACCACUUAUUAAAAGUGCUGCUCUUUGGGGCGUAUUCCUUGCUGUAUCAUCUAAUACACGCUAUCAGAUCAUCAACGGUCUGGAGCGAGUAGUUGAGGCAUCACCAGUUGCAAAGGGUGCCCCUCCUGUUGCAAUGGCAUUUACCGUUGGUGUUCGCUUUGCCAAUAACAUCUAUGGUGGAAUGCAGUUUAUCGAUUGGGCUCGAUGGAGUGGUGUCCACUGCGGCCUGAUCGACUUGUCCUACCCGUUCGGCAUAGGCCCCGGGUGCUCCCUGCCCGGAUUCAACCUCACCUGCGACGCCAACACGUACAGGAAGCGCCUCUUGCUCGGCAGCCCCAACGUGACGGUGGACUACACGAUCUUCGCGAGCGGCUUCGUUUCCUCGCUCGCCGUCAACAUCCUGCGCACGUACGGUGCGCAUGAGACCCGGCGCCGGGACGUUCUCUGCCCCAUGGGACGGCCCCGGCAGGCCGUUCGCCAUCUCCGGCGUGUCCAACAUGCCGCUGUUCGUCCUCGGCUGCGGCGUCACGGCCACGCUGCUCGACCGUGGGGCUGCGGUGGGGAACUGCUCCGUGGUCUGUGCCGGGGAGGAGGUCAUGCGGAGGCUGCCCAACGGGCUCUGCGUCGGCGUGGGCUGCUGCCGCAUCGACCUACGCGUAAACCUCCGUGCGUUCGCGUCCAACCUAUCGCGCACCGGCGGCGACGGUGUCAGCCGGGACAAACUCACCUUCUUCGUCACCGGCCGGGACAGGUACACGUUCCGGCCCAGCGAUCUGGAGCGUGACAUUCACCCCGACAUGGUUCCUCCGGCUCUGCUGGAUUGGGCCAUCCCCGGCCAGCCUGACUGCCGGCGCGCCAUGGACGACAGAGUGACAUAUGCCUGUGUCAGUAACCACAGCGAGUGCCGGGACUCGCCGAUCGGAGGCUACCUCUGCCACUGCUCCAGAGGCUUCUCCGGCAACCCCUACGCCGUCGAUGGGUGCGUGCCAGACCAAGUUUAUGGCUCCAUCCACUCAUCCAGCCAAAGACGAACUGUCCGAGGAUGUGCGGGAGCGUGAGCGUUCCAUUCCCCUUCGGCACAGAGCUGGGCUGCUUUGCGAGGAUCCAUCUUUACCUGACAUGUAACCCAGGGUCUUCUCCUGCCAUCCUCCAAAUGACCCAGCACUCGCUCGUCACCGACAUAUCCAUCGACGAGGGCGUGUUGAGGAUUCAGAAGCGGUCCGACUCGGGUGAUUUCUUGAGGGAUCGAGACACCACGCUCUACUCAUUCUCCGGAGAAUCUGGCAUGGUGAAGUGGGCUGUGGAUGACCCGACGUGCAGGGAGGCGAUGCUGAGCAAGGAGUACAGGUGCUUGAGCGCUCAUAGCCGCUGCCUAGAGGUCACCGACGACAGAACAAGCAAGCAUGUGGGAUACAGGUGCAAAUGCUCUUCCGGUUUCCAAGGAAAUCCUUACCUCCAAGAUAUCAACGAGUGCUUGCAGUCAGAUAAACACACUUGCAAUGGAGUCUGUCAGAAUACCCUCGGAAGUUUUACUUGCUCUAGUUGCCCGCGCGGGACAGAUUUUGACACAACUGCCAGGAAGUGCAAAGCAUCCAACGUUAUCUCAGGUGUUACCAUUGGAAUUAGCUCCGGCGGGGGGAUUCUGUUUCUUGCCGUGAUUACGACCAUUAUCAUCCGUAGAUGGAAGAAAGGCGCCCAGAAACAGCUGAGGAGGAGGUGCUUCCGCAAGAACAAAGGAAUCCUCCUUGGACAGCUCGUCUCGUCUGACCCAAGUGCCAGCGACAGCACCAAGAUAUUCUCCCUGGAAGAGCUAGAGAAGGCGACCAACAACUUUGACCAAUCCCGCGUGGUCGGCCGCGGCGGCCACGGGACUGUCUACAAGGGCAUCCUGACGGACCAGCGCGUGGUCGCCAUCAAGAGGGCAAUGCUGGUGGCGAGCGCCGAGAUCGAGCAGUUCAUCAACGAGGUUACCAUCCUGUCGCAGAUCAACGAACGUCGUGAAGCUCCAUGGAUGCUGCCUGGAGUCCGAGGUCCCUCUGCUCGUCUACGAGUUCGUCUCCAACGGCACGCUCUACGGCCUCUUGAACGGCGAGCAAGAUGGCAGGCCUUUACCGAUGCCCUGGGAGGAGCGCCUAAGGAUAGCCGCCGAGAUCGCCGGCGCGCUCACACAUCAAGUCCAUGAACGUGCUCCUCAACGACAGCCACACGGCAAAGGUUUCGGAUUUCGGCGCGUCGAGGUCGAUGCCGGUUGACCAGACACAUCUGGUCACCGCCGUGCAAGGCACCUUCGGCUACUUGGAUCCGGAGUACUACCACACGGGCCGAUUAACCGAGAAGAGCGAUGUUUACAGUUUCGGCGUGAUUCUUGUCGAGCUGCUGAUGAGGAAGAAGCCGCUCGUUGAGAACGAGAAUGGCGAGAAGCAGAACCUGUCCAACUACUUCCUGUGGGCUAUGGGGGAGAGGCCUCUAGAGGAGGUGGUGGAUAAACAGGUUGUGGAGGAAGAAGAUAUGGAGGUGGUCAAGCACGUGGCUUUCUUGGCGCGAGAGUGCCUGAACCUGAGAAGGCAGAAGAGGCCUAGCAUGAAGGACGUGGAGAUGAGGCUGCGAUUCUUGAGGGCACGGAAGGUUGCUCUAGGAAAGGAUGAAGUGGCUCACCGUGAAGUAGGAGGAGGAGAUUGGCGUGGAGGCAUGGUUCCGGUGGCUGGUCACCUUGGCACACGUCAGUAUAGUCUGGAGCAAGAGUUCGUCUCGUCCUUGCGCAUACCACGAUAAUUUGUCUUCCCUGGCUAACAUUCCACUGUUUAUGAUGUCCUCCUAUCCUAUACCGGUUGGAGUUAGUAAGGGAGCUGAUCUCUUUUAAGCGAGAAUUGUUUGGCAAUGAGAUAUAAGGACAUGUAC